CCUACGGGGGGCAGCAGUGAGGAAUAUUGGUCAAUGGGCGCGAGCCUGAACCAGCCAAGUCGCGUGAGGGAAGACGGUCCUAUGGAUUGUAAACCUCUUUUGUCGGGGAGCAAAAGAAGCUACGCGUGGCGUUCCGAGAGUACCCGACGAAAAAGCAUCGGCUAACUCCGUGCCAGCAGCCGCGGUAAUACGGGGGAUGCGAGCGUUAUCCGGAUUUAUUGGGUUUAAGGGGUGCGCAGGCGGACGAUCAAUUCGACGGUAAAAUUGCGGGGCUCAACCUCUUCGAGCCGUUGAAACUGUUUUGCUUGAGUGAGUGAGAAGUAGGCGGAAUGCGUGGUGUAGCGGUGAAAUGCAUAGAGAUCACGCAGAACUCCGAUUGCGAAGGCAGCAUACCGGCGUUCAACUGACGCUGAUGCACGAAAGUGUGGGUAUCAAACAGGAUUAGAUACCCGAGUAGUC
rnacentral:rRNA from 1 species